rnacentral:rRNA from 1 species
CCUACGGGUUGCACCAGUGGGGAAUAUUGGACAAUGGGCGAAAGCCUGAUCCAGCAAUGCCGCGUGAGUGAUGAAGGCCUUGGGGUUGUAAAGCUCUUUUACCAGGGAUGAUAAUGACAGUACCUGGAGAAUAAGCUCCGGCUAACUCCGUGCCAGCAGCCGCGGUAAUACGGAGGGAGCUAGCGUUGUUCGGAAUUACUGGGCGUAAAGCGCACGUAGGCGGCGAUUCAAGUCAGAGGUGAAAGCCCGGGGCUCAACCCCGGAACUGCCUUUGAAACUAGAUUGCUAGAAUCCUGGAGAGGUUAGUGGAAUUCCGAGUGUAGAGGUGAAAUUCGUAGAUAUUCGGAAGAACACCAGUGGCGAAGGCGACUAACUGGACAGGUAUUGACGCUCAGGUGCGAAAGCGUGGGGAGCAAACAGGAUUAGAUACCCCUGUAGUC